rnacentral:sRNA from 1 species
UUGCAAUGUUAGAAUGCCACUCAUUUAUGAGCAAGUUUUUUUAUUGUCAGUACUAGGAAGUAGUUUUUUGUGCUAGAAAGUGGCCAUUAUUUUUUAUUUCAAAACAGUAUGCUGUAGUACACGAUUUGCAUGAUUUUGGUCAUUAAGUAUCUUAAGGUAUCAUAUCACCAUUAAAUACCAGUAACCAAAAAUGCAUGUUCAAAACUGUUUUUAUAUUGCAACUGCAUUUUUUAGCUGAUGAUUUCAUUCAUAGCUUGCAUUGUUAAUGUCUUUUUGCAACUUAUUAUAGAUUAGAGUUGAGUUUUUUUACUGUUCUAGAAAAUAGUCUUUUGUAAGAGAAAGUGGUUGUUCUUUUUAUUUAUUUCAAAACAGUACAAGUGUACACAAGAUGCAAAAUUUUGUUCAUUGUUGGAAGCUAUUGUGUUUGCUUCUUGUUAGCUAGUUUGUUUAUGUAUUAAUUAGUACCAGUUUUUAUGAUCUCAAUUAUAUUAUUAACACACUUGAUAUUAUUUUUUAUUUAGUCGUUUAUGUUCUGGUCAAAGUUUUUGUUGUCACUUUCUUUCGUCCAGGUUGUUACAUUUUUUGUAGCCUUUUCAUGUACAAUAAAUUUUGUUUGU